CCUACGGGGUGCACCAGUAGGGAGUCUUCGGCAAUGGACGAAAGUCUGACCGAGCAACGCCGCGUGAGUGAAGAAGGUUUUCGGAUUGUAAAACUCUGUUGUUAGAGAAGAACAAGUAGGAGAGUAACUGCUCUUACCUUGACGGUAUCUAACCAGAAAGCCACGGCUAACUACGUGCCAGCAGCCGCGGUAAUACGUAGGUGGCAAGUGUUGUCCGGAUUUAUUGGGCGUAAAGCGAGCGCAGGCGGUCUUUUAAGUCUGAUGUGAAAGCCCUCGGCUCAACCGAGGAAGGUCAUUGGAAACUGGAGGACUUGAGUGCAGAAGAGGAGAGUGGAAUUCCAUGUGUAGCGGUGGAAUGCGUAGAUAUAUGGAGGAACACCAGUGGCGAAGGCGACUCUCUGGUCUGUAACUGACGCUGAGGCUCGAAAGCGUGGGGAGCAAACAGGAUUAGAUACCCUAGUAGUC
rnacentral:rRNA from 1 species